rnacentral:lncRNA from 1 species
CUCUGCAUGUAACCCUUCUCUUCGGUGUUCAAGUUCGAAGCCUCACACGCAGUGCCGCUUCAUGACUCUGGUUUGAUCUCUCUCUCUCUCUCUCUCUCUCUCUCACUGCCUUCACUUCGCCUCUCAUCCAUGUUCGAAAUCGAAGCCUCAAUCCUUGAUUGAUGGCUGCUUGGCAAUUUGAUUCAGGGUACUCUGUACUUGAGCAUACUUGGGUUGGAUCAACACAGCAAGAGUUGCUGCAUUAGGUGGGGCUAGUAGGACAUCCAAGAGGGGAAGGAUUUCAUGCUUCUUAUCGUGAGAAGGUUGUGUAGGAAGUGAUUUCAAACUGUAGUGGAUAAGUUCUUUCACAACUAUUUUGUACCUCUUGUUAUAAGCCAUUUGACUUGUAGAGGCUGUUGAGAUUUACAAUUUACUUGUCUGAUUUUUUUUUUUUCCUUCUUCGUAUUUAUUGUGUCUAACUUUUGAGAUCCAAAGAGAAAUAAAUUUAUUAUGUUUAA